CACGUGAGAAUCUGCCUUUAGGAGGGGGAUAACAACUGGAAACGGUUGCUAAUACCCCAUAUGCUUUCGAGUGAAAUGGAUUUAUCCGCCUAGAGAGGAGCUCGCGGCUGAUUAGCUUGUUGGUAGGGUAAUGGCCUACCAAGGCGACGAUCAGUAUCUGGUUUGAGAGGACGAUCAGACACACUGGAACUGAGACACGGUCCAGACUCCUACGGGAGGCAGCAGUGGGGAAUUUUCCGCAAUGGGCGAAAGCCUGACGGAGCAAUACCGCGUGAGGGAAGACGGCCUAUGGGUUGUAAA
rnacentral:rRNA from 1 species